rnacentral:rRNA from 1 species
UACGAAGGGGGCUAGCGUUGUUCGGAAUUACUGGGCGUAAAGGGCGCGUAGGCGGCUUCGAUAGUCGGGUGUGAAAUGCCUGGGCUCAACCCAGGAACUGCACUCGAAACUCCGAGGCUAGAGUGUGGGAGAGGAUAGUGGAAUUCCCAGUGUAGAGGUGAAAUUCGUAGAUAUUGGGAAGAACACCGAUGGCGAAGGCAGGUCUCUGGGCCGAUACUGACGCUGAGGAGCGAAAGCGUGGGGAGCGAACAGG